CUACGGGGCGCUGCAGUGAGGAAUAUUGCACAAUGGGGGGAACCCUGAUGCAGCAACGCCGCGUGGAGGAUGACGCAUUUCGGUGUGUAAACUCCUUUUAUAUGUCAAGAAAAUGACGGUAGCAUAUGAAUAAGCACCGGCUAACUCCGUGCCAGCAGCCGCGGUAAUACGGAGGGUGCAAGCGUUACUCGGAAUCACUGGGCGUAAAGGACGCGUAGGCGGGUUGGAAAGUCAGGUGUGAAAUCCUACAGCUUAACUGUAGAGCUGCACUUGAAACUUCUAAUCUAGAGUAUGGGAGGGGGAGAUGGAAUUAGUGGUGUAGGGGUAAAAUCCGUAGAUAUCACUAGGAAUACCUAAAGCGAAGGCGAUCCCCUGGAACAUUACUGACGCUAAGGCGUGAAAGCGUGGGGAGCAAACAGGAUUAGAUACCCGAGUAGUC
rnacentral:rRNA from 1 species